rnacentral:rRNA from 1 species
CCUACGGGAGGCUGCAGUGAGGAAUAUUGGUCAAUGGGCGGAAGCCUGAACCAGCCAAGUAGCGUGCAGGAUGACGGCCCUACGGGUUGUAAACUGCUUUUAUACGGGAAUAACGCGCCUUACGUGUAGGUCUUUGCAUGUACCGUAUGAAUAAGGACCGGCUAAUUCCGUGCCAGCAGCCGCGGUAAUACGGAAGGUCCGGGCGUUAUCCGGAUUUAUUGGGUUUAAAGGGAGCGUAGGCCGGAUGUCAAGUCUGCUGUGAAAUGUCCGGGCUCAACCCGGGCCUUGCAGCGCAAACUGGCGUGCUUGAGUGCGCGGGAAGCAGGCGGAAUUCGUGGUGUAGCGGUGAAAUGCUUAGAUAUGACGAAGAACCCCGAUUGCGAAGGCAGCUUGCUGCAGCGGAACUGACGCUGAUGCUCGAAAGCGCGGGUAUCGAACAGGAUUAGAUACCCCGGUAGUC